rnacentral:lncRNA from 1 species
AAAAAAACACAUUUUAUUGCAAGUACCCUACUUUUUGGUAUUACAAGAGUUUCCACACAUCACUGAAUUCAUUAACCUAAUAAAAAAGCAGAAGGAAGUUAAGCUGCUGGGUACAUUCUCUCUUCAUGGCUACAUGAGCACAAAAUUCAUUUGAAUUCAAUCCGAACUCCAGUUCCACUGCUGACGGAUACAUAAUACAUUGGGAUUGCAACAGAUACCAGGCACUCAUUCUCGUCCUAUUACAUCGUACAUAAUUAAAUCUGCUGCUAAGCAGCACAGAGGUAUAAAAAGUUGAAUAAAGAUUGAAAAACAUCCAAGAAAUAUGAGGAAACCUAGGCUGCACCACAAGUAGGAAGUAGAAUGCACAAAAAAAAAAGAGCAGUAAACACCUCCAUUCAAUAGCUGCAACCGCAGAAAAGCAAAAGGAAGCAACACUGGUGCACAAACUUAACCCCCUUCCUCAGAACUCGUGCAAUCUUUUCACCACAUGCAAUUAAACUGCAUUGGUCAUGCUAACCCAAGAAUAAAGAUAGAUGACUUGUCGAUUCUUGUCAUAUGUUUGGCAAAAAUGAUUGUGCUUCACAUUUAGGUUCCUUGGUAGUAUGAUUAUUAGACUAAAGACAUUGAACCAAGGACGAGCUACCAAGACCCUAUGAGAUAUGGGUCACCAACUGACAACUCUAACCUGAUUUUGAUUUCCUCUGUAAGAAUGACCGUCUUGUUGAAAGAGGAACUAGAAUCUCAAAGACAUUCUGGAGCACUCCUUUAUCGUAAAUGUUAUUCUUAACAACCUCCACUUCUUCAAGACGGGACCUUUGGAAGAAGGCUUUCCAUUUGCUCACAGGGUGCUUCUUUUCAUGGUUCAAUUCAGCUAAACUUGCUUUGAGUGCUGCUGCACUUGCCUUUGCUUCAUUAACCUUCCUCUUCCAGCUUAAGUACUCUUGCCAUUUGAAAGUCUGCAGUUCACACGAGCAACAUUUAGCUUUAGAUGUGAGCUAAGAGCAAGCUGUUAUUUCAACUUUUAAAAUUUAAUAGUUAAGCUGAAUCAAUAAGGUAUAUGAUUAUGAUAUACUAAUGCAUUUCUACGAUUAGG